CUUGGCCUAUAAAUCCACCAUUGAUGGGAUUCAUCUUGUUAUGUUAAUACCUUUACUCUACUGGCAGAUGUUAACUUUACGAUGUCUACUAUCUACUCGACAACAUAAGAAAUUUCAUUCUCUUAGCCUAGUGUUCUCAUUACCACAAACUACCAUUUUAAUUGUCCUCUGUACCAUUUGAUGUUUGAUGCAUUAGACCAAUAAGGACUACAGAGUAAUUUUGAAAUAAAUACGUAUCAAAUA